ACGAACGCUGGCGGCACGCUUAACACAUGCAAGUCGAACGAGAGAAGAGAAGCUUGCUUUUCUGAUCUAGUGGCGGACGGGUGAGUAACACGUGAGCAAUCUGCCUUUCAGAGGGGGAUACCGAUUGGAAACGAUCGUUAAUACCGCAUAAUAUAAUUGAACCGCAUGAUUUGAUUAUCAAAGAUUUAUCGCUGAAAGAUGAGCUCGCGUCUGAUUAGCUAGUUGGUAAGGUAACGGCUUACCAAGGCGACGAUCAGUAGCCGGACUGAGAGGUUGAUCGGCCACAUUGGGACUGAGACACGGUCCAGACUCCUACGGGAGGCAGCAGUGGGGAAUAUUGCACAAUGGAGGAAACUCUGAUGCAGCGAUGCCGCGUGAGGGAAGAAGGUUUUAGGAUUGUAAACCUCUGUCUUCAGGGACGAAAAAUGACGGUACCUGAGGAGGAAGCUCCGGCUAACUACGUGCCAGCAGCCGCGGUAAUACGUAGGGAGCGAGCGUUGUCCGGAAUUACUGGGUGUAAAGGGAGCGUAGGCGGGAUCGCAAGUCAGAUGUGAAAACUAUGGGCUUAACCCAUAAACUGCAUUUGAAACUGUGGUUCUUGAGUGAAGUAGAGGUAAGCGGAAUUCCUAGUGUAGCGGUGAAAUGCGUAGAUAUUAGGAGGAACAUCAGUGGCGAAGGCGGCUUACUGGGCUUUAACUGACGCUGAGGCUCGAAAGCGUGGGGAGCAAACAGGAUUAGAUACCCUGGUAGUCCACGCCGUAAACGAUGAUUACUAGGUGUGGGGGGACUGACCCCUUCCGUGCCGCAGCAAACGCAAUAAGUAAUCCACCUGGGGAGUACGACCGCAAGGUUGAAACUCAAAGGAAUUGACGGGGGCCCGCGCAAGCAGUGGAGUAUGUGGAUUAAUUCGAAGCAACGCGAAGAACCUUACCAGGUCUUGACAUCGUAUGCAUAGCUCAGAGAUGAGUGAAAUCUCUUCGGAGACAUAUAGACAGGUGGUGCAUGGUUGUCGUCAGCUCGUGUCGUGAGAUGUUGGGUUAAGUCCCGCAACGAGCGCAACCCUUACUGUUAGUUGCUACGCAAGAGCACUCUAGCAGGACUGCCGUUGACAAAACGGAGGAAGGUGGGGAUGACGUCAAAUCAUCAUGCCCCUUAUGACCUGGGCCUCACACGUACUACAAUGGCUGUCAACAGAGGGAAGCAAAGCCGCGAGGUGGAGCAAACCCCUAAAAGCAGUCUUAGUUCGGAUUGUAGGCUGCAACCCGCCUACAUGAAGUCGGAAUUGCUAGUAAUCGCAGAUCAGCAUGCUGCGGUGAAUACGUUCCCGGGCCUUGUACACACCGCCCGUCACGCCAUGGGAGUCGGUAACACCCGAAGCCUGUAGUCUAACCGCAAGGAGGACGCAGUCGAAGGUGGGAUUGAUGACUGGGGUG
rnacentral:rRNA from 1 species